GACGAACGCUGGCGGCGUGCCUAAUACAUGCAAGUCGAACGAGAGCGCCCGGUGCUUGCACUGGUCAAUCUAGUGGCGAACGGGUGAGUAACACGUGGGUAACCUGCCCAUCAGAGGGGGAUAACAUUCGGAAACGGAUGCUAAAACCGCAUAGGUCUUCGAACCGCAUGGUUUGAAGAGGAAAAGAGGCGCAAGCUUCUGCUGAUGGAUGGACCCGCGGUGCAUUAGCUAGUUGGUGAGGUAACGGCUCACCAAGGCCGUGAUGCAUAGCCGACCUGAGAGGGUGAUCGGCCACAUUGGGACUGAGACACGGCCCAAACUCCUACGGGAGGCAGCAGUAGGGAAUCUUCCGCAAUGGACGCAAGUCUGACGGAGCAACGCCGCGUGAGUGAAGAAGGUUUUCGGAUCGUAAAACUCUGUUGUUAGAGAAGUAUAAGUGCUAGAGUAACUGUUAGCGCCUUGACGGUAUCUAACCAGAAAGCCACGGCUAACUACGUG
rnacentral:rRNA from 1 species